UACUCGAGUGGCGAACGGGUGAGUAACACGUGGGUGAUCUGCCCUGCACUUCGGGAUAAGCUUGGGAAACUGGGUCUAAUACCGGAUAGGAACCAUCUUUAGUGUGGUGGUUGGAAAGUUUUUUCGGUGUAGGAUGAGCUCGCGGCCUAUCAGCUUGUUGGUGGGGUAAUGGCCUACCGAGGCGGCGACGGGUAGCCGGCCUGAGAGGGUGUACGGCCACAUUGGGACUGAGAUACGGCCCAG
rnacentral:rRNA from 1 species